rnacentral:lncRNA from 8 species
AUGACCACAGGUUGGGUGUGCCAGAGGGCGCAACAUCAGGACAGAAUCUAUCUCCUGCUCAUUGUCUUACCAGCACUACUUCUGCUCCUGAUACUGUCUGUCCUACUCUUCAGAUGGUUCAUAUGCAGCCUGGUGGUACGGUUCUUCCAAAACAAACUGGACACUGAGCUGAAGAUAAAAUCAGUGGGGCUCUUUUCAGUGCGUGGAAUCAUUAUCCAGUUUCAGCCUGGAUGUGCCUGGUGUUGUGUGUGGGUGAGACCAGAGUGAGAGUGGACCUGCAACAGCCUCUGAGACCUCGGGCGCCUAAGCGCUGUGAUGGAGGAGAGUCAGGGAAGGUUCCUCUUAGCCCCACAACCCUGCGGUUUAUCUCCCAGGUAGGGACCAACACACAACUGUUUAUAUAAGAAUGCUACUCACAAAAUAUUUUAUGAAAAAAGUGCUCUCAGUUCACUCAGCUGCUGUCUGUCUUUGCUCUUAGCUGCUGUCCUUCCAUAUUGACUCCAUCAACGUGAUGGUGUUAAACCUAGCCCUGUCAGAGUCUCUAUGGUACAUGACCACCUCAAGUAUUGACCUACUGCUCGCCCAGAGUAAACUGCCUAAUACUCGGGCCCAGAGUCAAAUAUUUGCAUAUUAUUAGUAGAUUUGGAUAGAAAACACUCUGAAGUUUCUAAAACUGUUUGAAUGAUGUCUGUGAGUAUAACAGAACUCAUAUGGCAUGCAAAAACCUGAGAAAAAUCCAACCAGGAAGUGGGAAAUCUGAGAAUUGUAGUUCUUCUUUUGAAUCCCUAUCGAAACUACAGUGUCUGUGGGGUCACGUUGCACUUCCUAAGGCUUCCAUUGGCUGUCAACAGCCUUUAGAAACGUGUUUCAUCCUUCUUCUGUUACUGGGCAGAAAAUAGGAGCUCAGUCAAUGAGUGGACUGCCUGGGACCAGUGAGUUGUUUACUGCGCAGGCACGUUUGGUG